rnacentral:lncRNA from 1 species
CUACUGCCUGGACCCCAUCCACAAGAUGAAUGGUAACAUAUUGCUGAGCCCAGCAACCAGAUGAUGUCACUUUCCUCUCCUGCCUGGAAUCUGCUCAGAGGUGGAGAGUUACAUAUCACUGGGCCCAGCACAUAGGAAAUGUGACUCUCCCCUCCUGUUUGGGCCCUCCCAACAGUGGGAAAUGUGAGAUGUCACUGGGCUCAUCACCUAGAUGAUGUAAUGCUUCUUCCCUUUAUUGAUCCACCCACAGUGGGAAUUGUGACAUAUUACCAUGAUCAACAGCUAAAUGAUGUGACUCUUUUCUGCUGAUUGAGCCCUGCUUAUAGGGGGCAUUGUGACAUUUAGCUUCACCUUGAACCCAGAUGAUUUAACUCUCUUAUCUGGGCUUUGCCUAUGGAGAACACUGUGACAUAUCUCUGCACCGAUCAUCUAGGUGAAGUGACUCUCCUCUCCUGUCUGGUUCUGGCUCAAAGAAGGGAAUGUAACAUGUCACUGGACCCAGCACCUAGGAAGAUUUCCACGUAUAUCUGCGUCCAGCACCUAGGUGGGAUUGUGACAUACCUAGGCCUAGCUCACAGGCGUGAUGAUGACUCUCAUAUGUGGACCCAACAAACAGAAAAGAUUUUGACUCUCAUGGCUAGAAUUAGGGGAAUAGGUAAGGUCUUCUGUUUCCUACUUGUGGUAAUGUCACAGAAGAUGAUGACACUCAUGCAUAUCCCAUAACAUCCUUGAGUGACACAGAGAGUGUCCUAACAGGACUCAGCACACAGGUGAGAUUGUGCAUCCCACAGGCACACCCACCUGACAAUUACAAUUGUCACUCUCACACAUGGACAGAACCCACUGUUGAGGUCCUGAAUCUCACAUGUGGACAUGAUCCACAGUUAGAGUUGUGACUGUCCUAUGUAAAUUCAGCAAUGUGUGAGAUGAUGACUUAUUUCUGGAUCAAGCUCACAGAUGCAAUGAUGACUCUCAUAUACUUGGAUUUAGCCAAUAGAAGAGGUGUUGAUUCUUGUAGCUGGGCUUAGGGCAAUGGGUAAGGUCCUGAGUCUUCUACUUGCAGAAAGUUCUCAGAAGAUUACCACACUCAUGCAUAUAAUAUAAAGCCCUUACGUUUCACCAAGAGUUUCAUAUUAGGUCCCAGUACAAAGUUGAGAUUGUGACUCUUCUAUGCACACCCAGCUGACGGGAUUAUCACCCUCACACAUGGACAGAGCCCACUGCUGAGGUUCUGAGUCUCACUUGUGGAUAUAGCUCACAGUUUGUAUUGUGACUUUUAUAUGUGGAUCUUGCCACAGGUGGGUGUCUUAUUUCUGGACUCAGCUCACAGACACAGUGAUGACUCUCAUACCUGGACCCAGCAAAGAGGAGACAUGUUGAAUCUUGUAUUAGGAUGUUUGUGUGUGUGUGUCUGUGUGUGUGUGUUUUAGUUCCUUGAGCUUUGGAAAUUGAUUCUACAGUAUCUUAUACAGAUGUAAAUGUAUCAGGCUUUUUUUGUAAAGCUAUAUAUAUAUAUUCCUCCUGUUUAUUAAAAUAUU